rnacentral:lncRNA from 1 species
GAUGGGGUGUGCUUGUUAGUGGUCGGGCCAUAAGAAUGAAUGGGGAAAUAAAGCGCCAGUGACGUCAGCGGCAAUUAAAAAGCGCCAACGUCACCGUCGUCGCAGGGGCGCUUUAACUCAUGAGCCCUGUCCACAACGCUCUCUUCCCAUGCCCGCGGCUCAUGGGUUAGCAUAUUUUGGCGCUUAGCUCCUUUUGAUUUAAUGUCAAAUCCCGCUUUUCAAUUUUCUCAAAAGGAACUAUAUCCACUUUUACAUUGUUUCUUAUGACCCAACUAACGAGCACACCCCAUCUUUCCACUUGCACAUCUCCUUUUCGCAUAAAUACGUCCAAAUAAAGGAUGCAUAACAAGGUAUCAAGGCUACUAUUUAUUCUUCUUAUUCUCAUUUAUUCUUACGAUACCAAUAUAACGCUGUUCUAUUACUCAAAAGUAUCCGGUAAUGGCGGCUGAAUAUUGCCUUGUUUUUGUUUCAGGCUGUCUCCGUCCUACGCGGGAGUGGGCGAUUGGUUCUUCUCGUGAAGAAGGGAGCAGGCGCCGAAUUGUUUCCGGGGGAGUCCUCGGGCUACAACAGCUCCGCGAGCAGCGUGGCUGGUGACCAAAGCCCCGAGACCUGGGUCAACAAAAGGUUGUCUAUUGUUAAUGAAGAAUCUUUUAUUGAUUCCGAUAGUCGACUGAGUCAUCAAGAUUCGGAUCAUAGGUUGAUUUCUGAUCAGUUCAUAAACGAUAGCAAUAAAGAGAGACAUCUAAAACCUUAUGAAUCUAAUUGUAAUGGAGAUGUUGAAAAAACCGUUAUUCAUGUUAGUAGCUCAGAUGUUAUUCCAAGCCAAAGAGAUAAGUCCGUUGAUUUUAAGUCUGCAUCCAACAAGUUGACGGAAAUUUGCAUGGUGUCGCAACAAAUGGAGACAACCACAACGACCGUCCUUGUAGAGGUCCACCAAAAUAACGAAGACGCGGAGAAAAAUAAAAGAAAUCAAAAUAAUAAGUAUUUAGAUAAAAGUUCUUCAGGGAGCUCAUUUUCUGGUAGUAGUAUGACUAGCCUCAGUAGUGCCAUUAGUCAAGAGAUACAGAGGAGAUCAGAGCGGAAAGCCAGUGAUCCAGCUAGUGUGGAUCAGCCACCUCAAAAGGCGGCAAGUUAGAGAAGUUGAGAUCGAACUUUGACAAGGAGAAGG